AGCAGCCGCGGUAAUUCCAGCUCCAAUAGCGUAUAUUAAAGUUGUUGCAGUUAAAAAGCUCGUAGUUGAAUUUCGGGGUUAGUAGGUCGGUCAUGCCUCUGGUAUGUACUGGUCUCACUGAUUCCUCCUUCCUGAUGAACCGUAAUGCCAUUAAUUUGGUGUUGCGGGGAAUUUGGACUGUUACCUUGAAAAAAUUAGAGUGUUUAAAGCAAGCUAACGCUUGAAUACAUUAGCAUGGAAUAAUGAAAUAGGACGUUCGAUCCUAUUUUGUUGGUUUCUAGGAUUGACGUAAUGAUUAAUAGGGAUAGUUGGGGGCAUUAGUAUUCAAUUGUCAGAGGUGAAAUUCUUGGAUUUAUUGAAGACUAACUACUGCGAAAGCAUUUGCCAAGGAUGUUUUCAUUAAUCAAGAACGAAAGUUAGGGGAUCGAAGACGAUCAGAUACCGUCGUAGUCUUAACCAUAAACUAUGCCGACUAGGGAUCGGAUGAUGUUAAUUUUUAAUGACUCAUUCGGCGCCUUAC
rnacentral:sRNA from 1 species